rnacentral:rRNA from 1 species
UCAGAGUGAACGCUGGCGGCGUGCCUAAUACAUGCAAGUCGAACGAUGAAGCUCUAGCUUGCUAGAGUGGAUUAGUGGCGCACGGGUGAGUAAUGCAUAGAUAACAUGCCCUUUAGUCUAGGAUAGCCAUUGGAAACGAUGAUUAAUACUGGAUACUCCUUACGAGGGAAAGUUUUUCGCUAAAGGAUUGGUCUAUGUCCUAUCAGCUUGUUGGUGAGGUAAUGGCUCACCAAGGCUAUGACGGGUAUCCGGCCUGAGAGGGUGAACGGACACACUGGAACUGAGACACGGUCCAGACUCCUACGGGAGGCAGCAGUAGGGAAUAUUGCUCAAUGGGGGAAACCCUGAAGCAGCAACGCCGCGUGGAGGAUGAAGGUUUUCGGAUUGUAAACUCCUUUUGUUAGAGAAGAUAAUGACGGUAUCUAACGAAUAAGCACCGGCUAACUCCGUGCCAGCAGCCGCGGUAAUACGGAGGGUGCAAGCGUUACUCGGAAUCACUGGGCGUAAAGAGCGCGUAGGCGGGAUAGCAAGUCAGAUGUGAAAUCCUAUGGCUUAACCAUAGAACUGCAUUUGAAACUGUUAUUCUAGAGUAUGGGAGAGGUAGGUGGAAUUCUUGGUGUAGGGGUAAAAUCCGUAGAGAUCAAGAGGAAUACUCAUUGCGAAGGCGACCUGCUAGAACAUAACUGACGCUGAUGCGCGAAAGCGUGGGGAGCAAACAGGAUUAGAUACCCUGGUAGUCCACGCCCUAAACGAUGAAUGCUAGUUGUUGUGGAGCUUGUCUCUGCAGUAAUGCAGCUAACGCAUUAAGCAUUCCGCCUGGGGAGUACGGUCGCAAGAUUAAAACUCAAAGGAAUAGACGGGGACCCGCACAAGCGGUGGAGCAUGUGGUUUAAUUCGAAGAUACACGAAGAACCUUACCUAGGCUUGACAUUGAUAGAAUCCGCUAGAGAUAGUGGAGUGCUAGCUUGCUAGAACUUGAAAACAGGUGCUGCACGGCUGUCGUCAGCUCGUGUCGUGAGAUGUUGGGUUAAGUCCCGCAACGAGCGCAACCCUCGUCCUUAGUUGCUAACUAUUCGGUAGAGCACUCUAAGGAGACUGCCUUCGCAAGGAGGAGGAAGGUGAGGAUGACGUCAAGUCAUCAUGGCCCUUACGCCUAGGGCUACACACGUGCUACAAUGGGAAGCACAAAGAGAUGCAAUAUUGUGAAAUGGAGCAAAUCUAUAAAACUUCUCUCAGUUCGGAUUGUAGUCUGCAACUCGACUACAUGAAGCUGGAAUCGCUAGUAAUCGUAAAUCAGCUAUGUUACGGUGAAUACGUUCCCGGGUCUUGUACUCACCGCCCGUCACACCAUGGGAGUUGUAUUCGCCUUAAGUCGGAAUGCCAAACUGGCUACCGCCCACGGCGGAUGCAGCGACUGGGGUGA